rnacentral:rRNA from 1 species
CCUUUGCGGCAUGGGGAUGGGGUCGCGUCCUAUCAGCUUGAUGGCGGGGUAACGGCCCACCAUGGCUUCGACGGGUAGCCGGCCUGAGAGGGCGACCGGCCACAUUGGGACUGAGAUACGGCCCAGACUCCUACGGGAGGCAGCAGUGGGGAAUAUUGCACAAUGGGCGCAAGCCUGAUGCAGCGACGCCGCGUGAGGGAUGGAGGCCUUCGGGUUGUAAACCUCUUUUGUUAGGGAGCAAGGCACUUUGUGUUGAGUGUACCUUUCGAAUAAGCACCGGCUAACUACGUGCCAGCAGCCGCGGUAAUACGUAGGGUGCAAGCGUUAUCCGGAAUUAUUGGGCGUAAAGGGCUCGUAGGCGGUUCGUCGCGUCCGGUGUGAAAGUCCAUCGCUUAACGGUGGAUCCGCGCCGGGUACGGGCGGGCUUGAGUGCGGUAGGGGAGACUGGAAUUCCCGGUGUAACGGUGGAAUGUGUAGAUAUCGGGAAGAACACCAAUGGCGAAGGCAGGUCUCUGGGCCGUUACUGACGCUGAGGAGCGAAAGCGUGGGGAGCGAACAGGAUUAGAUACCCUGGUAGUCCACGCCGUAAACGGUGGAUGCUGGNAUGUGGGGCCCGUUCCACGGGUUCCGUGUCGGAGCUAACGCGUUAAGCAUCCCGCCUGGGGAGUACGGCCGCAAGGCUAAAACUCAAAGAAAUUGACGGGGGCCCGCACAAGCGGCGGAGCAUGCGGAUUAAUUCGAUGCAACGCGAAGAACCUUACCUGGGCUUGACAUGUNCCCGACGCCCANGAGAUGGGGUUCCC